rnacentral:ncRNA from 2 species
UGAGGUAGUAGGUUGUGUGGUC